UGGGGAAUAUUGCACAAUGGGCGCAAGCCUGAUGCAGCCAUGCCGCGUGUAUGAAGAAGGCCUUCGGGUUGUAAAGUACUUUCAGCGGGGAGGAAGGGAGUAAAGUUAAUACCUUUGCUCAUUGACGUUACCCGCAGAAGAAGCACCGGCUAACUCCGUGCCAGCAGCCGCGGUAAUACGGAGGGUGCAAGCGUUAAUCGGAAUUACUGGGCGUAAAGCGCACGCAGGCGGUUUGUUAAGUCAGAUGUGAAAUCCCCGGGCUCAACCUGGGAACUGCAUCUGAUACUGGCAAGCUUGAGUCUCGUAGAGGGGGGUAGAAUUCCAGGUGUAGCGGUGAAAUGCGUAGAGAUCUGGAGGAAUACCGGUCGCGAAGGCGGCCCCCUGGACGAAGACUGACGCUCAGGUGCGAAAGCGUGGGGAGCAAACAGG
rnacentral:rRNA from 1 species